rnacentral:rRNA from 1 species
CGGCGGACGGGUGAGUAACACGUGGAUAACCUACCUAUAAGACUGGGAUAACUUCGGGAAACCGGAGCUAAUACCGGAUAAUAUAUUGAACCGCAUGGUUCAAUAGUUAAAGACGGUUUUGCUGUCACUUAUAGAUGGAUCCGCGCCGCAUUAGCUAGUUGGUAAGGUGACGGCUUACCAAGGCAACGAUGCGUAGCCGACCUGAGAGGGUGAUCGGCCACACUGGAACUGAGACACGGUCCAGACUCCUACGGGAGGCAGCAGCC